AUUGAACGCUGGCGGCAGGCCUAACACAUGCAAGUCGAACGCGUGGCGGACGGGUGAGUAAUGUCUGGGAAACUGCCUGAUGGAGGGGGAUAACUACUGGAAACGGUAGCUAAUACCGCAUACCAUUCGAUGUUCCCUGAUGGGAUUAGACAGUUGGUGGGGUAACGGCUAACCACGGCGACGAUCCCUAGCUGGUCUGAGAGGGUGACCAGCCACACUGGAACUGAGACACGGUCCAGACUCCUACGGGAGGCAGCAGUGGGGAAUAUUGCACAAUGGGCGCAAGCCUGAUGCAGCCAUGCCGCGUGAAUGAAGAAGGCCUUCGGGUUGUAAAGUACUUUCAGCAGGGAGGCGUUACCCGCAGAAGAAGCACCGGCUAACUCCGUGCCAGCAGCCGCGGUAAUAC
rnacentral:rRNA from 1 species